AUGAAUGCAGCUGUUGUUAUCACUGUGACGGAAGAGCGGUGCUGAAAAAUACGGCCUCCAUCGAGAGACUGAACGUAACACGACUGCAGCUGAAUCUGCCACGAGGCUCGACAACGUCUUCCAUCAACUGCAAAGCGGUGAUCGCUGUGGCCGCCAAAACAUCCAAAUGUCAGGCGGGCUACAAAGAUUUCAGGCCAAAAGAGAAAGCCUCACAUGUGAUGAAGUGUCUGUAUUGGUUGGAAAAACCAGCAGCCCUCCAGUGCUUCAGCCGUCCAACCAUCAACCGUUUCAGACAUCCAUCCUCCCACCACUUCAGCCCCACAGCCGUCCACCAGUGUGCCAACUUCUGACAUUUUACUAUCCUGGGGGGGGUCAUGGCCUCUACGCUGGAUUCCAAAAAAGAGACAAAAAAACCCCGCCCUCAACCCCCACUCUUAGUCAGACGUGUUUAUUUUUUUAUUUACAAUAAUAAAUAAUAUACUAUGUACAUUUA